AAAACAGGAUUAUACAGGAUGAUAUAGGAUCAUCAAUAAUUAAGAGUUGUUCAGAAAAAAAGUACAAGAGACUGAAUAGCAGCUUUAGGGGGACAGAGUGGGAAUGAGGAUGGUAUUGGAGUGGAAGCCCAAGGAGGGGAGAGUUUCCUGGAGGAAGAAUUGGUCUACCAGCUAAAAGUUACAAAGAAUUCAAAUCUAGUGAGAACUGAAAAGGAAUCAGCAAUUCAGGCAAUUAGGAGAUUUGGGAGGAUUUAAACAAGAACUCUUUCAGUGUAAUGUGAGUGGAGGAGAGGAUUGUGCAGAUGCAAAAUUUAAUGAGUUAGGGAAUGGUGAGGUAAGGAAAUAGAAGCAGCUACAAAUUUGGUAAUUAAGAGGGAAUUACGCUAGAAAAUCUAGGCAGAAAGUGGUAGCGGUAAAGAUCAUCAAUUAUAAAUUUUGUAUGUUGUCUUUACCCAUUAACUUUUUUUUCUACAGAGUACUAAAGCAAAAAAAAUAAUUAAGAGGCUAUGGUGUAGAUUCUACAAAAUAAAGGAGACUUUUUCUUUUCUUUCCCAGAUUUUCUUUUGUUAUGCAGUAGAAAACCACUACUUUGUGAAUCUCGACCAGCGUUGAAGGAGAAGGUGUUCUAUUGGCUCUGGACUUGACCGCACAAGGACAUUUUCUGGAAUGCAAACAACUAUUGAUUCCUGAACUUAAUAACAAGUCAUUUCACUGCUUUCCUGAGCACUUGAGCCUUACAGCUUCAAAUACAUACCACAUGGAGAGAGUUUCCGAAGACUACAGAAGGCGGCUAUAAACACGUAGCUGCUGGGGAUGGAGUUUCUAUCUGUUCUUUGUCUUUUAAGGUAUGGCAUACUAGUAAUAAUGUCUCCCUUCUUUUGACUCUGAAAUUACUUUGAAAUGCAUGUAAAAAAAUUUUUUUAAAGGGUAAGUGAAUACAUUAAAGAUUGAUG